UACGAAGGGGGCUAGCGUUGCUCGGAAUUACUGGGCGUAAAGCGCACGUAGGCGGCUUCUUAAGUCGGUGGUGAAAUCCUGGAGCUCAACUCCAGAACUGCCUUCGAUACUGGGAGCUCGAGUCCGGGAGAGGUGAGUGGAACUGCGAGUGUGGAGGUGAAAUUCGUAGAUAUUCGCAAGAACACCAGUGGCGAAGGCGGCUCACUGGCCCGGUACUGACGCUGAGGUGCGAAAGCGUGGGGAGCAAACAGG
rnacentral:rRNA from 1 species